GCCAACGAGUGGCGACGGGUGAGUAACACGUAGGUAACCUGCCCAGAAGCGGGGGACAACAUUUGGAAACAGAUGCUAAUACCGCAUAACAACGUUGUUCGCAUGAACAACGCUUAAAAGAUGGCUUCUCGCUAUCACUUCUGGAUGGACCUGCGGUGCAUUAGCUUGUUGGUGGGGUAAUGGCCUACCAAGGCGAUGAUGCAUAGCCGAGUUGAGAGACUGAUCGGCCACAAUGGGACUGAGACACGGCCCAUACUCCUACGGGAGGCAGCAGUAGGGAAUCUUCCACAAUGGGCGCAAGCCUGAUGGAGCAACACCGCGUGAGUGAAGAAGGGUUUCGGCUCGUAAAGCUCUGUUGUUAAAGAAGAACACGUAUGAGAGUAACUGUUCAUACGUUGACGGUAUUUAACCAGAAAGUCACGGCUAACUACGUGCCAGCAGCCGCGGUAAUACGUAGGUGGCAAGCGUUAUCCGGAUUUAUUGGGCACUAAAGAGAGUGCAGGCGGUUUUCUACAGUCUGAUGUGAAAGCCUUCGGCUUAACCGGAGAAGUGCAUCGAAAACUGGAUAACUUGAGUGCAGAAGAGGGUAGUGGAACUCCAUGUGUAGCGGUGCGAAUGCGUAGAUAUAUGCAAGACACCAGUGGCGAAGGCGGCUACCUGGUCUGCAACUGACGCGCUGAGACUCGAAAGCAUGGUAGCGAACACGGAUUAGAUACCCUGGUAGUCCAUGCCGUAAACGAUGAGUGCUAGGUGUUG
rnacentral:rRNA from 2 species